rnacentral:rRNA from 1 species
UACGAAGGGGGCUAGCGUUGCUCGGAAUUACUGGGCGUAAAGCGCACGUAGGCGGUCUUUUAAGUCGGUGGUGAAAUCCUGGAGCUCAACUCCAGAACUGCCUUCGAUACUGGAAGACUUGAGUCCGGGAGAGGUGAGUGGAACUGCGAGUGUAGAGGUGAAAUUCGUAGAUAUUCGGAGGAACACCAGUGGCGAAGGCGGCUCACUGGUCCAUUACUGACGCUGAGGUGCGAAAGCUAGGGGAGCAAACGGG